rnacentral:rRNA from 1 species
UAGGGAAUCUUCGGCAAUGGGGGGAACCCUGACCGAGCAACGCCGCGUGAGUGAAGAAGGUUUUCGGAUCGUAAAGCUCUGUUGUUAAGGAAGAACGAGUGUGAGAAUGGAAAGUUCAUACUGUGACGGUACUUAACCAGAAAGGGACGGCUAACUACGUGCCAGCAGCCGCGGUAAUACGUAGGUCCCGAGCGUUGUCCGGAUUUAUUGGGCGUAAAGCGAGCGCAGGAGGUGAAUUAAGUCUGAUGUGAAAGCCCCCGGCUCAACCGGGGAGGGUCAUUGGAAACUGGUUGACUUGAGUGCAGAAGAGGAGAGUGGAAUUCCAUGUGUAGCGGUGAAAUGCGUAGAUAUAUGGAGGAACACCAGUGGCGAAGGCGACUCUCUGGUCUGUAACUGACGCUGAGGCUCGAAAGCGUGGGUAGCAAACAGG